UAGUUAUCGAAAGCAAUGAAAAACAUUGUUGCACUAUUUAAUCUAUUUUUACUGCUUGGGUUAACGUUGAGCUUAAAAGACCCAAUUUGUGGACUGCCCCCAAUGAUUAAUGGCCCAGGUAAGCCCGCUUGUAAGGGCAACUUUCCCAGCUAUUCAUAUAUAUUAGAGAUCCAUGAAUGCCUUUAUUGGAUAUAUGGAGGCUGUGGAGGUAACGCUAAUCGCUUUGACUCGGAGGAUGCGUGCCUAAAAAAGUGCGACGAAAGUUAAUUAAUUUAAAAAAAAACACUCAGCCUUUUUCGCUAUAAACAGAAUUUCUUCAGCUAUAGUUGGUUACAUUCUGAAUUACUUAUUCUUUCACCAAACCGAUUACUACGAUAAGUUGUACGGUGUAUUUCAUUAGCCUGGCAUGAAAAUGUAAUGUUUCGCUUUAAUAUAAAUAAACGUAAAAUUUAGAUUUAAAA